rnacentral:rRNA from 1 species
ACCGUGGUAAUUCUAGAGCUAAUACAUGCUGAAAAUCCCGACUUCGGAAGGGAUGUGUUUAUUAGAUAAAAAACCAAUGCCCUUCGGGGCUCCUUGGUGAUUCAUAAUAACUUUACGGAUCGCAUAGCCUUGCGCUGGCGACGGUUCAUUCAAAUUUCUGCCCUAUCAACUUUCGAUGGUAAGGUAUUGGCUUACCAUGGUUUCAACGGGUAACGGGGAAUUAGGGUUCGAUUCCGGAGAGGGAGCCUGAGAAACGGCUACCACAUCCAAGGAAGGCAGCAGGCGCGCAAAUUACCCAAUCCCGAUUCGGGGAGGUAGUGACAAUAAAUACUGAUACAGGGCUCUUUUGGGUCUUGUAAUUGGAAUGAGUACAAUUUAAACCUCUUAACGAGGAACAAUUGGAGGGCAAGUCUGGUGCCAGCAGCCGCGGUAAUUCCAGCUCCAAUAGCGUAUAUUAAAGUUGUUGCAGUUAAAAAGCUCGUAGUUGAAACUUGGGUCUGGCUGGCGGGUCCGCCUCACCGCGUGCACUCGUCCGGCCGGGCCUUCCUUCUGAAGAACCUCAUGCCCUUUACUGGGCGUGUUGGGGAAUCAGGACUUUUACUUUGAAAAAAUUAGAGUGUUCAAAGCAGGCCUUUGCUCGAAUACGUUAGCAUGGAAUAAUAAAAUAGGGCGUGCGUUUCUAUUUUGUUGGUUUCUAGAGACGCCGCAAUGAUUAACAGGAACAGUCGGGGGCAUCAGUAUUCAGUUGUCAGAGGUGAAAUUCUUGGAUUUACUGAAGACUAACUACUGCGAAAGCAUUUGCCAAGGAUGUUUUCAUUAAUCAGUGAACGAAAGUUAGGGGAUCGAAGACGAUCAGAUACCGUCGUAGUCUUAACCGUAAACUAUGCCGACUAGGGAUCGGGCGAUGUUCUUUUUCUGACUCGCUCGGCACCUUACGAGAAAUCAAAGUUUUUGGGUUCUGGGGGGAUUAUGGUCGCAAGGCUGAAACUUAAAGAAAUUGACGGAAGGUCACCACCAGGCGUGGAGCCUGCGGCUUAAUUUGACUCAACACGGGGAAACUCACCAGGUUCAGAUGAAAUAAGGAUUGACAGAUUGAGAGCUCUUUCUUGAUUUUUCAGGUGGUGGUGCAUGGCCGUUCUUAGUUCGUGGGGUGACUUGUCUGCUUAAUUGCGAUAACGAGCGAGACCUUACUCUGCUAAAUAGCCAGGCUAGCUUUGGCUGGUCGCCGGCUUCUUAGAGAGACUAUCAACUCAAGUUGAUGGAAGUUUGAGGCAAUAACAGGUCUGUGAUGCCCUUAGAUAUUCUGGGCCGCACGCGCGCUACACUGACAGAGCCAACGAGUUCUUUCCCUUGGCCGAAAGGUCUGGGUAAUCUUGUUAAACUCUGUCGUGCUGGGGAUAAAGCAUUGCAAUUAUUGCUUUUCAACGAGGAAUGCCUAGUAAGCGCGUGUCAUCAGCAUGCGUUGAUUACGUCCCUGACCUUUGUACACACCGCCCGUCGCUACUACCGAUUGAAUGGCUCAGUGAGGCCUUCGGACUGGCUCGGGGAGGUUGGCAACGACCACCCCAAGCCGGAAAGUUGGUCAAACUCGGUCAUUUAGAGGAAGUAAAAGUCGUAACAAGGUCUCCGUAGGUGAACCUGCGGAGGGAUCAUUA